rnacentral:rRNA from 1 species
GACGAACGCUGGCGGCGUGCUUAACACAUGCAAGUCGAACGAAGAGCGAUGGAAGCUUGCUUCUAUCAAUCUUAGUGGCGAACGGGUGAGUAACGCGUAAUCAACCUGCCCUUCAGAGGGGGACAACAGUUGGAAACGACUGCUAAUACCGCAUACGAUCUGACCUCGACAUCGAGGAUGGAUGAAAGGUGGCCUCUAUUUAUAAGCUAUCACUGAAGGAGGGGAUUGCGUCUGAUUAGCUAGUUGGAGGGGUAACGGCCCACCAAGGCGAUGAUCAGUAGCCGGUCUGAGAGGAUGAACGGCCACAUUGGGACUGAGACACGGCCCAGACUCCUACGGGAGGCAGCAGUGGGGAAUCUUCCGCAAUGGACGAAAGUCUGACGGAGCAACGCCGCGUGAGUGAUGACGGCCUUCGGGUUGUAAAGCUCUGUUAAUCGGGACGAAAGGCCUUCUUGCGAAUAGUUAGAAGGAUUGACGGUACCGGAAUA